CCUACGGGAGGCAGCAGUAGGGAAUCUUCCACAAUGGACGCAAGUCUGAUGGAGCAACGCCGCGUGAGUGAAGAAGGGUUUAGGCUCGUAAAGCUCUGUUGGUAGUGAAGAAAGUUAGAGGUAGUAACUGGCCUUUAUUUGACGGUACUUACUUAGAAAGUCACGGCUAACUACGUGCCAGCAGCCGCGGUAAUACGUAGGUGGCAAGCGUUGUCCGGAUUUAUUGGGCGUAAAGCGAGUGCAGGCGGUUCAAUAAGUCUGAUGUGAAAGCCUUCGGCUCAACCGGAGAAUUGCAUCAGAUACUGUUGAGCUAGAGUGCAGAAGAGGAGGGUGGAACGCCAUGUGUAGCGGUGGAAUGCAUAGAGAUAUGGAAGAACACCAGUGGCGAAGGCGGCUCUC
rnacentral:rRNA from 1 species